rnacentral:rRNA from 1 species
CCUACGGGCGGCAGCAGUGAGGAAUAUUGGUCAAUGGGCGCGAGCCUGAACCAGCCAAGUCGCGUGAGGGAAGACGGUCCUAUGGAUUGUAAACUUCUGUUCUUAGUGAAGAAUAAUGACGGUAACUAAGGAGCAAGCCACGGCUAACUACGUGCCAGCAGCCGCGGUAAUACGUAGGUGGCAAGCGUUGUCCGGAAUUACUGGGUGUAAAGGGAGCGUAGGCGGGAAGCCAAGUCAGCUGUGAAAACUACGGGCUUAACCUGUAGACUGCAGUUGAAACUGGCUUUCUUGAGUGAAGUAGAGGUUGGCGGAAUUCCGAGUGUAGCGGUGAAAUGCGUAGAUAUUCGGAGGAACACCGGUGGCGAAGGCGGCCAACUGGGCUUUAACUGACGCUGAGGCUCGAAAGUGUGGGGAGCAAACAGGAUUAGAUACCCUGGUAGUC